CCCUUAGAUGUUCUGGGCCGCACGCGCGUUACACUGAUUGGAUCACCGAGUGUACCACCUUGGCCGGAAGGCCCGGGUAACCUUGGCAACCCCAAUCGUGCUGGGGAUAGAGCAUUGUAAUUAUUGCUCUUCAACGAGGAAUUCCUAGUAAGCGUGAUUCAACAGAUCGCGCUGAUUACGUCCCUGCCCUUUGUACACACCGCCCGUCGCUCCUACCGAUUGAAUGGUCCGGUGAAAUCUUCGGAUCGAGGUCCUCAACCUGUCGGCUUGUCUGGCAGGUCGGAACUUGAAAAGUCGAGUUAACCUUAUCAUUUAGAGGAAGGAGAANUCGUAACA
rnacentral:rRNA from 1 species